rnacentral:rRNA from 1 species
AACUCUAAGCGGUGGAUCCUCGGCUCAUGGGUCGAUGAGACGCAGCCAAACUGUGGGUCAUGUGUGAACUGCAGGACACAGAACAUCGACAUUUUGACGCAUAUCGCAGUCCAUGCUGUUAUGUACUUUAAUUAAUUUUAUAGUGCUGCUUGGACUACAUAUGGUGAGGGUUG